rnacentral:rRNA from 1 species
AUUGAACGCUGGCGGCAUGCCUUACACAUGCAAGUCGAACGGCAGCACGGGAGCAAUCCUGGUGGCGAGUGGCGAACGGGUGAGUAAUAUAUCGGAACGUGCCCAGUCGUGGGGGAUAACGUAGCGAAAGCUACGCUAAUACCGCAUACGAUCUAUGGAUGAAAGCGGGGGAUCGCAAGACCUCGCGCGAUUGGAGCGGCCGAUAUCAGAUUAGGGUAGUUGGUGGGGUAAAAGCCUACCAAGCCUUCGAUCUGUAGCUGGUCUGAGAGGACGGACCAGCCGACACUGGAACUGAGACACGGUCCAGACUCCUACGGAGGCAGCAGUGGGGAAUUUUGGGACAAUGGGCGCAAGCCUGAUCCAGCAAUG